rnacentral:rRNA from 1 species
UUUAUUGGAGAGUUUGAUCCUGGCUCAGGAUGAACGCUGGCGGCGUGCCUAAUACAUGCAAGUCGAGCGAAUGGAUUAAGAGCUUGCUCUUAUGAAGUUAGCGGCGGACGGGUGAGUAACACGUGGGUAACCUGCCCAUAAGACUGGGAUAACUCCGGGAAACCGGGGCUAAUACCGGAUAAUAUUUUGAACYGCAUGGUUCGAAAUUGAAAGGYGGCUUCGGCUGUCACUUAUGGAUGGACCCGCGUCGCAUUAGCUAGUUGGUGAGGUAACGGCUCACCAAGGCAACGAUGCGUAGCCGACCUGAGAGGGUGAUCGGCCACACUGGGACUGAGACACGGCCCAGACUCCUACGGGAGGCAGCAGUAGGGAAUCUUCCGCAAUGGACGAAAGUCUGACGGAGCAACGCCGCGUGAGUGAUGAAGGCUUUCGGGUCGUAAAACUCUGUUGUUAGGGAAGAACAAGUGCUAGUUGAAUAAGCUGGCACCUUGACGGUACCUAACCAGAAAGCCAC